GUGUUGUAUGAAAGGAGAGAAGGUUAGCAGGCCCCUUGACAAGGAUGGAAGCAGCCCUUGGGCCUGACAACAUGCAUAUGGUUAAGGCAUUGCUACCUACUUCCCGACAUCUAACCAUACGUUUGU